UACGAAGGGUGCAAGCGUUACUCGGAAUUACUGGGCGUAAAGCGUGCGUAGGUGGUUCGUUAAGUCUGUCGUGAAAGCCCCGGGCUCAACCUGGGAAUGGCGAUGGAUACUGGCGGGCUAGAGUGCGGUAGAGGAGAGUGGAAUUCCCGGUGUAGCAGUGAAAUGCGUAGAGAUCGGGAGGAACAUCAGUUGCGAAGGCGGCUCUCGUGGACCAGCACUGACACUGAGGCACGAAAGCGUGGGAGCAAACAGG
rnacentral:rRNA from 1 species